GCAUUAAUGGGGUAGUGGUAACCUGGGUCGUUGCCAUAGGAGACGUUGUCUCGACCCGCCGGGGGUUCGAUUCCCUCUUAAUGCA